rnacentral:rRNA from 1 species
UUACACCCAAACCACCAGGGAACUACGAGCCAAGCUUAAAACCUAAAGGACUUGACGGUACCCCACAUCCCCCUAGAGGAGCCUGUCCUAUAAUCGAUAAUCCACGUUUAACCUCACCAUUUUUAGUUAAUCAGCCUGUAUACCUCCGUCGUCAGCUUACCACGUGAGCGUUAAUUAGUGAGCCUAAUGUAUUUCACCAAAACGUCAGGUCAAGGUGCAGUAAAUGAAAUGGAAAGAGAUGGGCUACACUUUCUACUUUAGAAAAAACGAAAAACUACCUAUGAAAUCUGGUUAGAAGGCGGAUUUAGCAGUAAAAAGGAAUCAGCAUGUCCAUUUUAACCCGGCACUGGGGUGUGU